UUCUCUCUCCAUACCCAUUUUGACCAGCCAUGAAUUAACCAUGAAAGAAUGCUUUUCAACUAUGAAAAUUAAGAAAAAAUGCAUGAGUAAGGUAAAUAACUAGCAAAAUUAAAAAAAUUUUACCUUUGCUUGAUCAAAUCCUUGAAUUCCAACACUUUCUCUUUGAUUUUUCCCACCUAGGGUUUGUUCUUCCUUGGUUUCUCUUCUCUUCUGGUUUGG
rnacentral:lncRNA from 1 species